rnacentral:snRNA from 1 species
AUACUUACCUGGCAGGGGAGAUACAAUGAUCACAAAGGCAGUUUUCCCAGGGCGAGGCUUAUCCAUUGCACUCCAGAUGUGCUCAUCCCUGCAAUUUCCCCAAAUGUGGGAAACUUGAAUGUAUAAAUUGUAGUAGUGGGUGACUGUGUCCAUGCUCUUCCC